CAGAAACAUCUGUUUUCAGUAGGGACACAACUAAUAACUAAAUCAGGAAGCCCAAAGGCUCUUACCUGCCUGCCUUAAUAGUCUGUUUGGUUCUGCAUUCCUAACAGUUUUCUCACACUGAAAAUCAUAUUUCAUGCUGCACUUCAGGCCAAGCAAGCUUGUAGAACAGUUGCUGAAACCCUUCUGCUUUAAUAUAAGCAUAACUGUUCUGUUCCUAUUGCAGCUAUAUAAAUCUACCUUCUGCUUAGCCACCUGUAGAAAAUUGCACCUAAAGUUAUGCAGAAAGUUUGCACUGAACCUUGAAGACAUGUACUCUGACAUCCAGCUGGAAAUUCAAACUGUUCCAAAAAAGGAGUGCUGCUGUUUUUCUCCUUUGGAGGCAUCAUUUGGAACGAGAUAACAUUUUGUUUUAUUGUCAAUAAUAUAUGAAGGAAAGAACUGCACACCUUCAUCAGAGUCUGAAGGAGUUUAAGUUAGGAUUUGAAAACUGCCAAAAAUGACAGCAAGACAAUGAAAAAACAGUGAUUUUCUUUAAAAAAUAGGAGAAAUAAGUGGGCUUUCUGAGAAACAGAAAUGACAUUGCGAAGUAGAUUUUAUUUCAUUUCUGAACUUAUCGCAAACUGAUGAGAUUUGUUUUCUUCCUAC
rnacentral:lncRNA from 1 species